UACGGAGGGUGCGAGCGUUGUCCGGAAUCAUUGGGCGUAAAGGGCGCGUAGGUGGCGGGCCAAGCGUGCGGUGAAAGCCUGGGGCUCAACCCCGGGUCGGCCGUGCGAACUGGUUUGCUUGAGCACUGUAGAGGCAGGCGGAAUUCCAGGUGUAGCGGUGGAAUGCGUAGAGAUCCGGAAGAACACCGGUGGCGAAGGCGGCCUGCUGGGCAGUAGCUGACACUGAGGCGCGACAGCGUGGGAAGCAAACAGG
rnacentral:rRNA from 1 species